rnacentral:lncRNA from 1 species
AGCAGUGAAUUGAUAAAGUGUGAUGAGUUUUUCUUGGGCAACCCCAUGGCAAGGUCCAAGCCAUCCUGAAUCUCCAAAAUGUAGCCCAGAUGAUGCCCAGGAGCAUCAGUGUGGUCUUCUUGUCUCCUUGUUCCUCACUCAGCAGUGUAUCCAAAUGUUGCUGAGUCUCAAAUGCAUGGGCAGGUGCAUGAGUGCCUCUCUCCAUGGAGUUAUGGUGACUUCCACGCUGCAUUAAGAUCCUCCUGACAGCCUCUCAGGCUCCCUCAUUCCUUCAGCUCUUAUUUCACUUUCUUGUCUCAGCUUUUGCUCUUUGAUGCUG